rnacentral:rRNA from 1 species
ACAUGCAAGUCGAGGGGCAGCAUGGACCCAGCUUUGCUGGGUUUGAUGGCGACCGGCGCACGGGUGAGUAACGCGUAUCCAACCUGCCCUUUACUCCGGGAUAGUCUCCUGAAAGGGAGUUUAAUACCGGAUGUGUUUGUCUUUCCGCAUGGGAGCGACAAAUAAAGAUUAAUUGGUAAAGGAUGGGGAUGCGUCCCAUUAGCUUGUUGGCGGGGUAACGGCCCACCAAGGCGACGAUGGGUAGGGGUUCUGAGAGGAAGGUCCCCCACAUUGGAACUGAGACACGGUCCAAACUCCUACGGGAGGCAGCAGUGAGGAAUAUUGGUCAAUGGGCGGGAGCCUGAACCAGCCAAGUAGCGUGAAGGACGACGGCCCUACGGGUUGUAAACUUCUUUUAUAAGGGAAUAAAGUUCGCCACGUGUGGUGUUUUGUAUGUACCUUAUGAAUAAGCAUCGGCUAAUUCCGUGCCAGCAGCCGCGGUAAUACGGAAGAUGCGAGCGUUAUCCGGAUUUAUUGGGUUUAAAGGGAGCGUAGGCGGGCUUUUAAGUCAGCGGUCAAAUGUCGUGGCUCAACCAUGUCAAGCCGUUGAAACUGUAAGCCUUGAGUCUGCACAGGGCACAUGGAAUUCGUGGUGUAGCGGUGAAAUGCUUAGAUAUCACGAAGAACUCCGAUUGCGAAGGCAUUGUGCCGGGGCAUAACUGACGCUGAGGCUCGAAAGUGCGGGUAUCAAACAGGAUUAGAUACCCUGGUAGUCCGCACGGUAAACGAUGAAUGCUCGCUAUGGGCGAUAUAUUGUCCGUGGCCAAGCGAAAGCGUUAAGCAUUCCACCUGGGGAGUACGCCGGCAACGGUGAAACUCAAAGGAAUUGACGGGGGCCCGCACAAGCGGAGGAACAUGGGGUUUAAUUCGAUGAUACGCGAGGAACCUUACCCGGGCUUGAAUUGCAGGUGCAUGAGUCAGAGAUGAUUCUUUCCUUCGGGACUCCUGUGAAGGUGCUGCAUGGUUGUCGUCAGCUCGUGCCGUGAGGUGUCGGCUUAAGUGCCAUAACGAGCGCAACCCUUCUCCCCAGUUGCCAUCGGGUAAUGCCGGGCCCUCUGGGGACACUGCCAUCGUAAGAUGCGAGGAAGGUGGGGAUGACGUCAAAUCAGCACGGCCCUUAC